rnacentral:rRNA from 1 species
AUGCGUCCUCUGGCGAGUCAGUUGGCAGAAGAAGCUAACUUGAUGGUUCACCGAUCCUUCUAUGAUGCUAACAACAAACGGGUUGAGGCUGUCAUUCCAGAAGUGCAAAAUCUUAUUCCGCCAAUCCGUAAGCACACUUACACCCCUAACGUUGAUCCGGUUGAGCUUAUAAGUGAAGAGGUUGUCUUUCAGGCCUUAACCCGGAUUGACUGGACCACCACUGACUUCCAGCCAUUGGAUGGGGAGGAGGAGGCUGAACCGACGCCAGAUGACCCAUCUACUUCACAUCAACAUGGCGAUGAAGCUUGA